UGCGUAGGCGGCUCUUUAAGUCAGUGGUGAAAUCUUGCCGCUUAACGGUAAAAUUGCCAUUGAUACAGAAGAGCUUGAGUACAGUUGAGGUAAGCGGAAUGUGUAGUGUAGCGGUGAAAUGCUUAGAUAUUACACAGAACACCAAUUGCGAAGGCAGCUUACUAAACUGUUACUGACGCUGAUGCACGAAAGCGUGGGGAGCGAACAGGAUUAGAUACCCUGGUAGUCCACGCCGUAAACGAUGCUCACUCGCUGUUUGCGAUACACAGCAAGCGGCCAAGCGAAAGCAUUAAGUGAGCCACCUGGGGAGUACGAUCGCAAGGUUGAA
rnacentral:rRNA from 1 species